rnacentral:rRNA from 1 species
UACGUAGGGUGCGAGCGUUGUCCGGAAUUAUUGGGCGUAAAGAGCUCGUAGGCGGUCUGUCGCGUCUGCUGUGAAAACUCAGGGCUUAACCCUGAGCUUGCAGUGGGUACGGGCAGACUAGAGUGCGGUAGGGGAGACUGGAAUUCCUGGUGUAGCGGUGAAAUGCGCAGAUAUCGGGAGGAACACCUGAGGCGAAGGCGGGUUACUGGGCUGAUACUGACGCUGAUGCGCGAAAGCGUGGGGAGCAAACAGG